AUUGCAUUAUUGGGUAUUAGGGGAGGCUAGGGAUAACAAGUCGGUAAUUAAUAAUAGGCUCUUUUCACCAAGGGAUUGGGUUAAGGGUAGGCUAGAAAGUUUGCAUGGCAAUUGGAUAAAUAAGUGAAGUAAAUAAGAAGAAUAGAUAUAUGAGAGUGGAUAAGAUGAAAUUAUAAACCCCAACAACACCAUUCAUCCAUAGUUUUUCAAAGCCAAUUGAAUCAACUGAUUUGCAUGUUUAUUUUUGUUCUUUGCUUACAAACACCAACUUAAUUCUUUUCUCAAGUCUUACGCGAUCUGUUUAAAUGAAAAGUAAGGCCUAAGAGUCCUUUGG
rnacentral:lncRNA from 1 species